GUAAGGAAUAUUGGACAAUGGACGCAAGUCUGAUCCAGCCAUGCCGCGUGAAGGAUUAAGGUCCUCUGGAUUGUAAACUUCUUUUAUAAGGGACGAAAAAAGGCUUUUCUAAGUCGUCUGACGGUACCUUAUGAAUAAGCACCGGCUAACUCCGUGCCAGCAGCCGCGGUAAUACGGAGGGUGCAAGCGUUAUCCGGAUUCACUGGGUUUAAAGGGUGCGUAGGCGGGCAGGUAAGUCAGUGGUGAAAUCCUAGAGCUUAACUCUAGAACUGCCAUUGAUACUAUCUGUCUUGAAUAUUGUGGAGAUAAGCGGAAUAUGUCAUGUAGCGGUGAAAUGCUUAGAUAUGACAUAGAACACCUAUUGCGAAGGCAGCUUACUACGCAUAUAUUGACGCUGAGGCACGAAAGCGUGGGGAUCAAACAGGAUUAGAAACCCUAGUAGUCC
rnacentral:rRNA from 1 species